UACGUAGGGUGCAGGCGUUAAUCGGAAUUACUGGGCGUAAAGCGUGCGCAGGCGGUCUUUUAAGUCAGAUGUGAAAUCCCCGGGCUUAACCUGGGAACUGCGAUGGAAACUAGCGAGCUGGAGUGUGGCAGAGGGGGGUGGAAUUCCGCGUGUAGCAGUGAAAUGCGUAGAGAUGCGGAGGAACACCGAUGGCGAAGGCAGCCCCCUGGGCUAACACUGACGCUCAGGCACGAAAGCGCGGGGGGCAAACAGG
rnacentral:rRNA from 1 species